rnacentral:rRNA from 1 species
GACGGGGGGAGCUAGCGUUAUUCGGAAUAACUGGGCGUAAAGGGUGUGUAGGCGGUUCUUUAAGCGAGAUGUGAAAUCUCCGGGCUUAACCCGGAAACUGCGUUUCGAACUGGAGAACUCGAGUGCGAGAGAGGAGAGUAGAAUUCCUUGUGUAGGGGUGGAAUCCAUAGAUAUAAGGAAGAAUACCAGAGGCGAAGGCGGCUCUCUGGCUCGCAACUGACGCUGAGACACGAAAGCGUGGGUAGCAAAUAGG